UUAAAGGAAGUUGACGGGGCCCGCACAAGCGGAGGAGCAUGUGGUUUAAUUCGAUGAUACGCGAGGAACCUUACCUGGGCUCGAACGUAAGAUGACUGUAGGUGAAAGCUUACAUCUCUUCGGAGCAUUUUACGAGGUGCUGCAUGGUUGUCGUCAGCUCGUGCCGUGAGGUGUCGGGUUAAGUCCCAUAACGAGCGCAACCCCUACCUUAGUUGCCAUCAGGUUAAGCUGGGGACUCUAAAGGAACUGCCUACGCAAGUAGUGAGGAAGGCGGGGAUGACGUCAAAUCAGCACGGCCCUUACGUCCAGGGCUACACACGUGCUACAAUGGCCGAUACAGAGGGCAGCUACCUGGUGACAGGAUGCAAAUCUCCAAAGUCGGUCUCAGUUCGGAUCGGAGUCUGCAACCCGACUCCGUGAAGUUGGAUUCGCUAGUAAUCGCGCAUCAGCCAUGGCGCGGUGAAUACGUUCCCGGGCCUU
rnacentral:rRNA from 1 species